GUAAGCUCCAACACUCACAGCAACAUUCUGGCUAGCAAGAAAGAGGGCAGUGAGAAGGUUACAGCUCCUGGUUUAAGGGAAUUUCCCAGAAUUGUACCCAAGAUGUCUUUUAAAUACCAUUGAUGAAAACUUAGUCAUAAUACCCCACCUAACUGCAAGGAAAUGGCAAAUACAGCUUUCCAGGUGGUCAUGUGUACAGGAAAAAUUGGAAAAAAGAGAAGUACAAAAUUGAGGUAGGUAAAACCAGUGGUCUAUGCCAAAGGUAUAGUUGGAUUAUGUUUUUUAACUUAUUCCUAGAGAGAGUGGCCAAAUUUUCUUAAGAUAAUUAUUUUCAAAAGUAUAUCCAGUAGUUUCAGAUCUUAAAAGUAAGCCUGAUGCCUUCCCCCGCCACCCCCGGUUAUUUAUUCAUAUAAGAAAAAGAGGCUUUUAGCUGGGCACAGUGGCACAUUGCCUGUAAUCCCAGCAGCUCAGGAGGCUGAAGCAGGAGGAUUGCAAAUUCAAAGCCAGCUUCAACAGUUUAGGACCUAAGCAAUUUACCAAGACCCUGUAUCAGGGCUGAGAUUGAGACUCAGUGGCAGAGUGCUUGCUGUUGAGAGCCACAGCCGAAGGGGCCCCAGCAAACUUUCAGACUGCCAGCUGAUGAUUGGCUCACAGGGGCCCCAGCAACUUCUAGCUGAUUGGCUCCUCUGCCAUGAUGCUCAUUGAGCUGUUUCCCCGCCCUUUCAGACUACAGAGCUGCUCAUUGGGGGACUUUUUUGGCUCCACCCACGCGACCCAGCCAAUCAGCCUCAAGAGCAGGAGUGGGGGAGGUUGAGAGGCUUGUGG
rnacentral:lncRNA from 1 species